CACGUAGGGGGCGAGCGUUGUCCGGAUUUAUUGGGCGUAAAGAGCUCGUAGGCGGCUUGGUAAGUCAGGUGUGAAACCUCCAGGCUCAACCUGGAGACGCCACUUGAUACUGCCAUAGCUAGAGUCCGGUAGGGGAGCGUGGAAUUCCUGGUGUAGCGGUGAAAUGCGCAGAUAUCAGGAGGAACACCAGCGGCGAAGGCGGCGCUCUGGGCCGGAACUGACGCUGAGGAGCGAAAGCGUGGGUAGCAAACAGG
rnacentral:rRNA from 1 species